UCGAGUUGCUCGGGGGAUUUGUAGCUGGCCGAUUCAUCCGGCAUGUGCUCGUCCUUCAUCCAUCUCAAACCCUUCUAUGUGCACUUUAUAGAAAAAGGGGCAAAGGUGUUCUGGUGGGUUUGACCGCCGGCAGCCUUUCCUUUUUCCUUUACACACAAACGCAUCAGUCUAUUAGAAUGUCUUUGGGUAUAUCGGAAAUAAAAUACAACUUUCAACAACGGAUCUCUUGGCUCUCGCAUCGAUGAAGAACGCAGCGAAAUGCGAUAAGUAAUGUGAAUUGCAGAAUUCAGUGAAUCAUCGAAUCUUUGAACGCACCUUGCGCUCCUUGGUAUUCCGAGGAGCAUGCCUGUUUGAGUGUCAUGAACAUAUCUCACCUGUGAAGUUUUGUGUACCGCGACAGAGAGUGAAGUGUAGAGGGGUGGUGGUCUCGGGCGCGUCUCUCGUGAAGCGUAAUAUCGCGCUCUUUACUCGGUCUCAUAACAGAGUGAGAAAAUCUCUUUGUGCUGUGUGAAACACCUGUGUUUGCCCGGUUUCUACGCCUUCUCAGACCCCUCUUGAGACUCUCAGACCUCAUCUCGGGGGACACCACCCGGAAAUCUUACACAUCACUAUAAGCAGAAGAAAAUA
rnacentral:rRNA from 1 species